CCUGUUUCGUACGUACGUACGGACGGACGGACGGACGGACGGACACCGAGAGUAACCCUAUAUGCCCCUGCCAUAUAUGGCGAGGGCAUAAAAAUGACUAACAUUUGAAACUUAUUCUAUGGCAGGUAACAGUGCUACUGUGUUGUGCUGUCCAGUCAGACAGUGGUAAAUGUACGUGGACGGAAAAACAACGGACGAAUAACAUCAGCACACAUCAAUUCUUUCAGAUGAGCAGAUAUUAAAACUUUACCAUUUUUCAUCCGUUAUGUUAGAAAAUUCCUAUAUAAACGGAAUACAAA